UAGGGAAUCUUCGGUAAUGGACGAAGGUCUGACCGAGCAACGCCGCGUGAGUGAAGAAGGUUUUCGGAUCGUAAAACUCUGUUGGUAGAGAAGAACGUUGGUGAGAGUGGAAAGCUCAUCAAGUGACGGUAACUACCCAGAAAGGGCGGCUAACUACGUGCCAC
rnacentral:rRNA from 1 species